UUUGUUUGCCCAUUCCAGAGAAAAUUUGUACAUUUUGCCAGUUCAUGUUGACAAGUGUCUUCAUAAGUGAGUUUAACCAGUUCAUUCAAAGAUGCAAAUUCAUUCUGAAACAGUAUAAGGAAGUGACUUUGAGUAAGUGAAUCAUUAACUCAUCUAAUUAGAAAUACUUUGUGUCUCUUAUAUUUCCAGCGUCAACGUAAUAGAAUUGAUGUAGACACUCUGCGAGCACUAAUUGAAAGCAAAGGUCUGAGUAUAUUGAAGGAUUAUGAAGCUUCAGGAAUGCUUUCAGAGACAUCAAGAAAAGUCCUUGUGAAGAUAGGUGUCAGUGCGUUGGUGGAACAAAGUGGAUUUUACCCUUGUAAUGAUGAGAAGCGGAUGUUGGCAGAAAGUGUAGUAACACUGUUUCCUUCUCUGAAGAUCAAGAUGGGAGAAGAGAAUGAAGGAUUUGAACAUUUCUAUGACCCAGUCUCCCACAGUGGAUUUAUUGAGAUGAGACUUA